GUUCCGAGUCGUUUGAGGGUGUCUGGUAAAGCAAGCUCGGGGCGGUGUUGGAAAUCUGAAUGUCACCCGCGGUCCGGAGCAGAUAGGAUGGGCUGGGAAGGUACCCGCGAACUGCCGCCGGAAUUCGCUGGCAGCUGUGCGAGGCUCAGGUGUUCUAGUUUGACAUUUCCCUUCCUGAAAGCGGCAAGGAGAGGUCUAAGAGUGGGCAAACUUCAACGUUCGGUUACAGUGUAAUUAAUGAGAGUGUGAGGAAAAAGACAAUUGUCUACAAAGAAAGAGGCUGCCAAGUGGAGACAGAAAAGCAGUUAUGAGACUGAUGAUAGAUUCCAAUUUGUUAUCGGUAGAAAGGAAGGAGGAGACCUGAACAGUACAUCCGGAGAAUCCAGCAAAGCAUACUACGGCAUGAACGUGCAAGUGGACAGAAUUAAAACACAUGCCAGAAACACUAAUGGAUUCUAAACAAGAUGCAGUUUCAUUUCCUGAGCCUAUACGUGAUGUUUUUAACUGUUCUCCAGUUAAUAUGUCUCCAUUUCCAGAAAUCUAACAGGAGAAUCUCUGACUGCUUAACAGAUCACCUAAGCUUGCGAUUUGUGCAAUCCUUUCUAGAGUAAGGGCUCCCCGGCUGCUCCCCGGCCACUGUGUACCCAAAGCAGCGGCUGAAAUAGCCCGGAGUCCAACAGCUCAGCGUCAAGCAGCUCGUGGUUUGUACUUACAUCAUUUUUUUUUUCAGAGCAAGAGUGAAAGUUUAUUAAAAAGCGUUAGAACAGUAAGGAAAGGAAAGGAGAGAAAAUAAGGAAAGUACAACUUGGAAGAGGGCCAAGCGGGCGACUUGAGAAAUCAAGUGCCUGUACUUACAUCAUUCUUAACCCUUUCGCUCCUGGAGGGGGCUCAGCGGGAUCAGGGGGCCCCUGAACUUCGGAACACGCAGGAC
rnacentral:lncRNA from 1 species